rnacentral:rRNA from 1 species
GAUGAACGCUGGCGGCGUGCCUAAUACAUGCAAGUCGAGCGAAUGGAUUAAGAGCUUGCUCUUAUGAAGUUAGCGGCGGACGGGUGAGUAACACGUGGGUAACCUGCCCAUAAGACUGGGAUAACUCCGGGAAACCGGGGCUAAUACCGGAUAACAUUUUGAACCGCAUGGUUCGAAAUUGACAGGCGGCUUCGGCUGUCACUUAUGGAUGGACCCGCGUCGCAUUAGCUAGUUGGUGAGGUAACGGCCGACCAAGGCAACGAUGCGUAGCCGACCUGAGAGGGUGAUCGGCCACACUGGGACUGAGACACGGCCCAGACUCCUACGGGAGGCAGCAGUAGGGGAUCUUCCGCAAUGGACGAAAGUCUGACGGAGCAACGCCGCGUGAGUGAUGAAGGCUUUCGGGUCGUAAAACUCUGUUGUUAGGGAAGAACAAGUGCUAGUUGAAUAAGCCGGCACCUUGACGGUACCUAACCAGAAAGCCACGGCUAACUACGUGCCAGCCGCCGCCGUAA